CCCUCUGGGGUGCCGGUCGGGCAUUCCGUGCAUCACCACUUCACGAAGCAGGUGGAUCCCUUCCUCCGCAAAGGAGAUCCGACGAGCGGCCUGUUGCCCGGGAUCGAGGCUGCGGCUCCGGAGGCGGAUGGCAGUGGAGACCGCAAGGUACAGGCCUACAAUUUCCGCAUGUGCACGACGGAUGUGCCGGAGAAUCGGCGCGCCUGGGAGAAGCCGGCCGAUUACGACCCUCAAUGGUUCGAACUGCUCUUGAGAAAUUGCGAGGCCGGCGACGAACGCAUACCCUGGAAUCCGGUGUGGAUGCCGAAUCGGAAGACCGAUACGAACAAUAAUUUCGCCGUCAGCACCGAUUUCAUCGGGCAAAAUUUCGAUUAUACGGAGGCGGAUUACGCCACACGGGCGCGCAUCUGGAAGGCGCACGAGGAUGGGCGGGAGAGC
rnacentral:rRNA from 1 species